ACAUCCAGAGAACUUAGCAGNGAUGCUUUGGUGCCUUCGGGAACUCUGAGACAGGUGCUGCAUGGCUGUCGUCAGCUCGUGUUGUGAAAUGUUGGGUUAAGUCCCGNAACGAGCGCAACCCUUAUCCUUUGUUGCCAGCGGUUCGGCCGGGAACUCAAAGGAGACUGCCGGUGAUAAACCGGAGGAAGGUGGGGAUGACGUCAAGUCAUCAUGGCCCUUACGGCCAGGGCUACACACGUGCUACAAUGGCGCAUACAAAGAGAAGCGACCUCGCGAGAGCAAGCGGACCUCAUAAAGUGCGUCGUAGUCCGGAUUGGAGUCUGCAACUCGACUCCAUGAAGUCGGAAUCGCUAGUAAUCGUAGAUCAGAAUGCUACGGUGAAUACGUUCCCGGGCCUUGUACACACCGCCCGUCACACCAUGGGAGUGGGUUGCAAAAGAAGUAGGUAGCUUAACCUUCGGGAGGGCGCUUACCACUUUGUGAUUCAUGACUGGGGUGAAGUCGUAACAAGGUAAGCGUAGCGAG
rnacentral:rRNA from 1 species